rnacentral:lncRNA from 1 species
UGACAUCAACAGCCAGCUACUUCCUACAUAGGACAAACUGGCAAUCCCAAGUCUCAGCACUUAAAGACAAACCAACUAAAACACUUCCAAACACCCAGAUUGAGCCUAAACCAAAACAAUCGGCCCAAAAUUGACAAACACAGACUACAUCAUCAGACACCACUGCUACCGAAGAACCAUUUAUCAAAAGUCCUGAGUGGUACUACCAACACACUAUACAACUCGAUCAAGCUACAUCAAACACACCUAAAAUGAAAAUUGAUCUAAUCAUUGAUACAGCAAAUAUUCAUUAACAUGCAAUAUGAAGGAAACGUAAACCUAAAAACUAAUUAUGUGCCAGCAAUCCAAUACAUAAAGCAAUUUAUUGCUCUUUCCGACUUCCCAAAUUGAAUGCUCAUUGUAUGAAUUUCAGAGGCAUGUACCUGGAAAAUGUAAAGAUAAAUAGAGGUGAGCAGCAGGAGUCAGUAGAGAAACAGCCAAGAUGAACCCAGAUUCAAUAAUUCAGCACAAAGGAACUUAUCUCAAAACCCAAAAAUUGUAAUAUGCAACCAGCUUGAACCCCAAAAAACUUCCAAAAAACCCAAUGUCAGUGCAUACUAAGUCUCAAAUGAACCAGAAAAUAUUUCAGAACUUGAAAAUCUAAGUAAUUAGUAAAAAAGAUCAAAGAAACAGUAGAAAUUUUCCUUCUGAAGAUUUUUUGUGUGGAUAUUUU